rnacentral:lncRNA from 1 species
UUGUUACCUCAGUCCACCAAUGCCCUAUUUUAGCCUAUAUGGAAUAGAUACUGCUAAUCUUUUGUUGCUCUUUGUAUCUUAACAUUUCUGGGCUAAAAGAUGAUAGAUUUUCUUAGAGGUACAGGUGUGAUGGUGUUUGGGGUAUUGUGAGAAGUGACGGUAUUGAUGUUGGUGCUAAUCGUGGUUUUGAUACUUGCUGGAGGUGUCGGUAGAGUUAGUGUAUGAUUUCGUGGUUACAGUAGCAGAUGGAAGCACUUGGUUAGGAUGGGGUUAAAGGAAGUGCUGGUGCUUCUGGCAGUUGUUCGGUGGUUACCAAUGAGUGUGUGUGUUGGUGUUGAAUGAGGAAGCUCGACUGAUUUGUUUCCAUUAAAGCU